AGAGGGUGACACUCCCGUCCGCCUGGCAGAGUGAGUCAUCUGUCAACGAGUCGAGUUGUUUGGGAUUGCAGCUCUAAUUUGGUGGUAAAUUCCAUCUAAAGCUAAGUAUUGGUGGGAGACCGAUAGCGUACAAGUACCGUGAGGGAAAGAUGCAAAGAACUUUGAAAAGAGAGUUAAAGAGUACCUGAAACUGCUGAAACGGAAGCGAAAGGAAACCAGUGUUUGUUUGUUCAUAUUUCCCUAGCCACUUGUGGCUUGGGCGCUGUGGGCUUGCGUGAGUUUGGGUUGGUUGAUUCCUUUAGAAGAGCGCAGUCAGAGUUGAUGUCU
rnacentral:rRNA from 1 species